GGCCCGGGUUAGGGUUCAGUUUAUUGGAACAAUACAUAGAAGAUUAGCAGGGCCCCUGCACAAGGAUGACACGAACAAAUCGAGAAAUUAAUGAAUUUCCA
rnacentral:snRNA from 1 species